AGCGAACGCUGGCGGCAGGCUUAACACAUGCAAGUCGAACGCCCCGCAAGGGGAGUGGCAGACGGGUGAGUAACACGUGGGAACGUACCCUUUGGUUCGGAAUAACUUGGGGAAACUCAAGCUAAUACCAGAUAAGCCCUUAUGGGGAAAGGUUUACUGCCGAAGGAUCGGCCCGCGUCUGAUUAGCUAGUUGGUGAGGUAAUGGCACACCAAGGCGACGAUCAGUAGCUGGUCUGAGAGGAUGAUCAGCCACACUGGGACUGAGACACGGCCCAGACUCCUGCGGGAGGCAGCAGUGGGGAAUAUUGGACAAUGGGGGCAACCCUGAUCCAGCCAUGCCGCGUGAGUGAUGAAGGCCUUAGGGUUGUAAAGCUCUUUUACCCGGGACGAUAAUGACUGUACCGGGAGAAUAAGCCCCGGCUAACUUCGUGCCAGCCGCCGCAGUAA
rnacentral:rRNA from 1 species